CUUCCGUCCAGGCCGGAACCCAAGAUGGCUGCGCUCCUGCUGAGACAUGUUGGCCGGCAUUGCCUCCGAGCCCAUGUUAAUCCUCAGCUGUGUAUCAGAAAUGCUGUUCCUAUGGGAACUACAGCUAAGGAAGAAAUGGAGCGGUUCUGGAAUAAGAACUUGGGUUCACAGCGUCCUCUAUCUCCACAUCUCACUAUUUAUCGGUAAGGGCUGUCGUGCCAGAAAAUGUAGAGGUAGUGGGUAAAAGUUCUGGAGGUUGGUUCUCAGCCUUCCUGGUACUUCCUCAAGUGGAGGGAAAUAUUUUCUCAGUCGACAUAAAGCUAUGUAGAUGAAGUGAACCCUUCAGAGUAGGGAGAGAGGACAUAAAGGUCAUGUCAGGCCUUUGGUACUGGGGUUUGAACUCGGUCUCAUACUUGCUAGGCAGGCACUCACUAUCACUUGAGCCUCUUC